CAGAGGGUUGCAUGCACAGACCAGUGGAUGGGGAGGCAGAGAUUUGAAAGGAACCCCUUCUGUUCUGUGGACUGUUUGUGCCGUUUGUGUGUUCAGAAACCAAACCACAACUUUAAUGUCAGAACUACUGUCAUCUACAAUCCCAAGCACAAUUGUGAAGCUCCAUAAGACAAUAACCUCUCCACUGUAAAUUCCACAAGUUUCAAUAAAUACUCUGGACCUGUACAUCAUGUCUGCAUUUUAAUCAGAUGCCCCACGGUGGCUCCUACAGAUAAACUUACUAGGA